CCCCUUGCUGUUGUUACAGCCUUCUCCACAAGCCUGACCAAAGGGGCCUGUGAUCCGUGUCGGCAGGACAUGCCAGCCACAGGAAGCCCUGGCUGUAAAUUUAUUUUGGAGCAAAGCAAAAUGAAUCAGAGCAGCUGGGUGUGACACAGGGAGGCAGACUGAGUGCCUCUGGAGUCAGGCACCACCAGCCCUAUGGCAAAGCAUCCCAGCACCUUGUUAAGGUGGGACUCGAGCAGCCCCUGCCAUAGGAGGGAUGGGGAUACUUCUUCAGGACAUAAAGACACAGAUUCCCAAAGUGCCAGGAACAGAGCAGGAGCUGAGUGCUGCAAUGCAAUUUUCUUGGUGACCGCUUUGUUCGUUUGGCAGCCAAGGUUUUACAGAAAUGACCUUGGUGGCUGUGAGCUGCACAGCUCAGUGCUUUCAAGGAAGUCACAGGGAGUUCCAGGUUGGGGAGACCUCCUCCACCAGCAGAUUAUCCUAUAGAGCCCAUUCCUAUAGACUGAACAAGCUCCAUAUUAAAACUACAUAGGUUGGCUGAGGGUUUUUUUUUUGUCCUUGAUAUUUACUCCCCACUACUGCUCUCCCAGGCUUGUUCCAGAAGCUUUCUCUGCUGGUGAGAAACUGUUUAAUUUCCACUCAGACUUAUGUCAACAUCGCCUGGUAGUUAUUUCCCUUCUCUCUAUUUAUCCUCCUAGAAAUCAUUGCUCAGCCCAUUCCCAGCCCUGUGUGGUCCUCCUUCAGCUGGAAAAGCAGGGGAAAAGGAGGAGAUUGUUACAGGAAGCACAGGAGCAAUAAAAUCAGUGGUUGUAGUAAGAUGUUUAGGAGGAGUGAGCCCAGCAAUGACACACACUUGGAAUGCUGCUGGCAGAUGGGGAUGGGAGAGAGGGAUGUCCCAGGGAAAGGAGCUAUUUGUCCUCGAUGGGUGAGGGCACCUUAUGUUUGGCCCCCAACCAACUGUUCCAAUAAAGGAGUUAAGGAUGUUCCAAAUGUCUGCAGUUAGGAGGAGCAAUAAAGACAAGGUUGAUCAGAAGGAGGAUACUAUGAUAUUUCAUGAAGCACUUGAGCUGGACUUGAAACAGAGAAGUAUGUUCUUCAUUUCACACUCUUUGUCCCCAUAGGUGGAAAAACAGGAUAAUAAUAGCCAGUCACCUCUCCCCAGGGUAUUGGGAGGGUAACGUCUGUAAAGGGUGUGGGCCAUUUAAAGCAAUAAAGAAAUGUGAAGUAUCAUUAUUAUUAACCUUCCUGUGCCUCAGUUCCCCAUUUGUAAGCUCUCACCUGGCACAUUUUGAUUGCCAUUUCCUCAGGGAGCUCUGCCCAAGGAGAUCUCAGCUGGAGCUGAGCUCUCCAGCUGCUGCCACUUGUAAACAAGGCCCACUUGUCAAAGAUGCUGGGACAUGCUGAGAUGGACCAGAUCAAAAUGUGAAGCUGAUCAGAGUCUUAACAGGGAUUUUUUUGUUUUGUUUUUCUGUUAUUGAUGAAUUCUAUUUACUUUUGCAGUGCCCUUGUAUUUCUUGUCUUCUCUAUAUCUUUCAGCUGGUUUCUUAUAUCAGGUUCAUAAUACAUUGCUUGAACUGUUAAGGGAGUGCCUUGUAGAGGGUGUAAUUUCACCCAUCUCUGCAGUGACAUUUCCUAUCCUUCAGGACACCAGAGAUGAACCUCCUCUUUCAGCAGCACAGUUUCAGGCUGAUAUCAUCGUGCUGGAAGCAGGCUCUGCGGCGACAUGCUUCUCCCUCCCUCUGGCAUCCAGCUCGCCCUGGCCACAUGUGCAGCCCAGGCCACGACCUCGGCCUUGGCUGGGCUCUGGCGGCCCAUUGAACAGUCACAGGCUGCACAGGGAGUUGCUGCUGUGCUAUUUUUAACCAGCUGGACAGUUAAAUAAUUCCAAGGCAGACACACACAGAGUGGUCUGUGCUGUGCCUAGGAUCUGAGAGGGGAGAAGAGCAUUGUAUCGACCCUGCUGGGCUUGCUUGACCUUAUCAAGCAUAGGUUCUCAGGCUCUUUAAUACAAAACAAAACAAAAAACAAACUUUCAGAAGUGAAAUCUGUGCCUCACUGACGUCAGUGGGACUCCUGGCUCUUAAUGCAGUGGAGCCUGGAUCACGCUUAGCUGCAAGGCAAGAACUGUUCAGUAUUUCCUUGCUUUCUAAUGCUACAGAACUGUUUUUCCAUGACAAACUUAUGGUGAGUAGAGUCCAGAAGGAGAAGUGUCAAAAUUUCUGCAGGAAAAAAGGAUUACUUUUAAGAAAUCUCUUCUGAAACAGGAUGUCCCAUGUAUAGCUACUCCCCCUGAUUUUGGACUAAGAAGAGAUCUACAGAAAAAUAUUUUCUCCCAUCUCUCCAGUGCAGUCCCCCGCAGCUGUCCUGUGGAGUGCUCCACAGCUCAGUGGAAAGCUGACCCUCUCAGGGAUGCCAGGGAGAGCACAAGACCUGCUCCAGUGCAGAAUUCCCACAUGGUCAUAGCCUCCUUUGGGCAUCCCCCUGCUCCAGUAAGGGGUCUUCCCCAGGCUACAGGUGAGUAUUUGCUCCACCAUGGACCUUUACGGGCUGCAUGGGAACAGCCUGCCUCACCAUUGCCAUCAUUCAUUAGGGGAUGCAGGGGAAUUUCUACUCCAGUGCCUGGAGCACAUCCUCCUCCUUGACUGAUCUUGGUGCCUACAGGGCUGUUUCUCUUGCUUCUUUCUCCACCUGCAGUUGCACCGGCACUCCCACCCCCCAUCCCUCCCCACUACACCUUUUUAAAUGUUAUCUCAGAGGCUUCGCCACUGUUGCUGAUGGGCUGGGCCUUGGCCAGUGGAGCCGUCUUGGAGCCAGCUGGCUCUGACUCUAUUGAACACAGGGGAAGUUUCUGGCAGCUCCUCACAGAAGCCACCUCUACCCUGCCACCAAAACCUUGUCAUGCAAACACUUGUCCGUCAAAUAAAAGGCACAAACUCAGUCUUCAGGCACGAGGGAAUCCACAGAGCAGCUCAACUUUGAAAGACAAAUGCGCAGCAAACCAGGCUUCACUGAUCCUGCUGUUAAUAGGGCUUCUUAUUUCCUUUUGAUUCCUGUGUGUUAGCUCAGCUGCGUUUUGGGACCGAACAAGAUCUUUCCACUAGUUCAAUUUCAAACACGUGGUAAAUGACUCUGUGCCUGGAGCACCCAAGGAUCCCGGGUGGUCUCUGUGCAGAGACCAGAGCUGUUCCUGCUGCCAAGAUCAGGCAAAACACAGCUCCCUGUUCCAGUGGAACCAGCGCUUGCCGGAGCCCAGCUGAUGCGAAGAAGAGGAGGAGGAGGAGGAGGUUGCGACUCCCCUGUGCAUCUCACACUUAAGGUUCUCGCCGUGUCUCCACGACCCAAAUCGUCACAUUUGCUAGCAGAGGCGUGUGAAGUCUUGUUAAAAGAAUGUGGCUUGUGCUGAUGCUCGGUGGCUCGAAUGAAUAAUUUGUGGCCAGGGUGACUCAGGCAGCGCGGGCUGGCAGCCAGGAGCGGGCAGAGGAGCCAGGGACUCAGCAGCACGUCCGGACAGCGUGUGCUGGGAGCACGGCGUGUCUGAAGGACCAGCUGCAACCCGUGUGAGGCCCGCGUGUUCCUGAGAGCCCAUUAGGAGAAUACCAGCAAG